rnacentral:rRNA from 1 species
AAAGCAGCUAUUAGAGCUAACCCGUCUCUGUCGCAAAAGAGUGGGGUGACUUUAAAGUAGAGGUGAUAGACCUACCGAACUUAGAGAUAGCUGGUUUUUUAAGAAAAGAAUUUUAGUUCAGCCCCAAGCCUUUCGUUAAGCAAAAAACCUUCUUAGGCCUGGGAGUCAUUCAUAUAGGGCACAGCCUAUUUGAAACAGGAUACAACCUAGAAUAUAGGGUAAAACAAUGUGAUUUUUCUAUAAGUGGGCUUGAAAGCAGCCACCUUUCAAAAAGCGUUGUAGCUUAUUGAUACUGAUUAUUUAAUAACCUCAAAAAUGUUUAACCCACACACACUAUUAAACUAUCCCAUAAAUUUAUGGGAGCUAUCAUGCUAGAACAAGUAACAAGAAAAAGAUUUUUCUCCAAAAUACAAGCUUUAGCCGCUACAGACAAACUACCGGCAAUUAACGCCUUUUAACUAAUUUAGUAACUCUAACAAGAAAACCCUAUAAACCCCCAGCGUCAACCUUACACUAGCAUAUUAAUGG